ACUGAGAUAAAAGCUCAAUUGUGUUCUCACAAUCAUUAAUAACACUCCUUUGUUCAUCUCCUCAAAAUGAUGUGUCUUGUCCAUUCCCUGUUUCUGCUGAUAUUCUGGAUUUUGGAGACCAGUGGUGAUGUUGUGAUGACCCAGACUCCACUCUCAUUGUCAGUGAACAUUGGGCAAUCAGCCUCCAUCUCUUGCCAGUCCAGUCAGAGCAUCUUACACAGUGAUGGAAAAACCUAUUUGAAUUGGUUCCUACAGAGGCCAGGCCAGCGUCCACAGCAACUAAUUUAUCAGGUGUCCAAACUUAGGUCUGGAGUCCCAGAGAGGUUCAGUGGGAGUGGGUCAGGGACAGAUUUCACUCUUAAAAUCAGCAAAGUGGAGCCUGAAGAUUUGGGAGUUUAUUACUGCAUGCAAGGUUCAUAUGUUCCUCCCACAGUGAUGUAGACCCU